rnacentral:tRNA from 1 species
GCCGGAAAAGCUCAGUUGGGAGAGCGUUAGACUGAAGUUGUUUACGCAACAGUCAUCUAAAGGCCCCCGGUUCAAUCGCGGGUUCCGGCA